CGGAACUCCACACCAUAAGGCUUCAAAGGUGCGCUGGCUGGGAUUGCCUUGAAGAACCGAGACUGCCUCAGGCAUGGUCAGGCAAACGUCGAUGGGGUUGUGGCGCAAGGUGGAUGCCUGGGCUCCAGCCUGAGGAACUCCAGCAGAACUAUUUGGUCGCGGCAGUCCUGCUGGCUGUCCCGGAGCCUUGGGCAAAGUUCCAUUGCCAUGCGCCCCAAGCCGCUGCUCUCCUCCAUCAUCGUCGCUGAAACCCGACAGACAUGAAAAUAGCCGGCGUGCCUUUCCGAGAAUUCCGUCUUCAUCUUCAGACAUUGCAAGGGCGUCACGAGGACGCUCCACUCAGCGAGUUUGUGUCAAACGUUUUGUCCCCAGCAUUCCUAGUUUCAUAUGAAUUUAAGGAUCCAUUAAGAUGUCGUCUGCAUGUAGGAAACCUUACACUUGUCGACUACCCGGGAUGCAGAGUUAAGCAAGUGAGCUUGUGAGGUGAUUAAGUCGUAUGAAACGGUUUCGACAUUUGCUGCCAUACAUUGCGAAUCUGGUUGCACAUGGCGUACAUCUCGUAACUCGGUUCGCUGUGAAGUCUGGACGCGUCAGUACAAGGUACGAACCUCAUAACUCAGUAAUGUAAUGGUUUGCACGCCG
rnacentral:lncRNA from 1 species